UAUACACUCUAAAAACGGCUGGGUUGUUUUUUAACCCAAAAUGCUGGGUUGAGUCUGUUGGGUCAUUUUGUUGGGUUAUUUUAUUACUUUUUAAACACUUUUGGGUAGUUUCGAUUUACCAGGUGUUGAGUUAAACCUGCUGGGUUGUAACGCUGGGUUGUUUCAGGCCAGCGCUGGGUUAUUUAACGCGCCUUGACGAUGUUUAAAUCGCACCGGUAACUGUCAUUUUGGAAGGACAAAGGGGCGAAGCCACUGGUUUCAACUGUUUUAAGAUGAAGAAAUUGAUGAGGAAGGUUUCAUGCUACUCGAUGACCGUACAAUCACAAGCCUCAUACCAAAAAUCGGACUUCGUGUCAAGUUCCUAAAGUACCACGAAGAGCUAAUAAAGAAACAUGGGGUUGAAAAUGCCACUCCUUCAGCUGUUCACAUAACUGACACAGAAGAAGCCACUGUUGCAGCAGGAGAUAUUGCAGAAGAGCUGACAAUUACACCAAUGCCAUUCAUUCAAAUAAUACCAAUUUUUAAUAUUAAAGAGAUUCUCAUGGCCUCCCAUGAGGGGAGAUGGAUUUCAGCAGCUUUAGAGAAGGAAAAAAGCAUCACAAUUAAACAGAGACGUGCACUGGUGCGAAUCCUGGUGGCCUUUUUAAUUGAAAAGUUUGGCGAAAUGCCAACUUCUGACACCAAGAAGGCUAUGGCAAUGGCGUUAAUUGAAGAGUUUCCCUGCCUUAAAGACAUCAGAGGCAAUGGCUAUGAGGCAUUUUACACACCAGGCCGGAACCACCGUCCAGCCACAGGCUUCAUUGAGGAGCGCUUACGAAACAUCAGAAAGAGAAUGAGAAAACUUUCCAGACCUCAAAGACAUGAAGAGGACACAUCACAUAGGAUGGUAAUCCCUGAACCUACUAUUCCAACGGAGAGAGCCCAAAGUCUUGUGAACUGGCUGAAAAAUAACCAUGCACCUAUUAACCAAGUGGUAGAAAAUAUGAAGGAGACAGCCUUAUAUCGGGCUAAGUGGAUCCGACAGAAUGGGACAAAGAGCAUCACAGAGGUUCUCCAUGAGUUCCCGCAUCUCUUGAACACACCUGGCAUGAUUUCCCAAGACUUUGAUCAGGUCCAUGGAGAAACUGGACUGAAGCUUUUUGAAUCGUGGGCCAAUUUCUUUGCUGACAGAAUUCUAAGGAUUGCGAUUAAGGAAGAAAAACUGAAUAAGACUUGGGAGAACAUUCCACAAG
ensembl:lncRNA